CUGGUUCAGGUUGGCAUACUCCCACGGCAGCGCGCCGCUGAACUGGUUCACGGAGAAGUCAAGGGACUUGAGGCUGGUGAGGAAGCGCAGGUCUUGAGCAAGAGAACCGACCUGCAAGACCCGGGUGCAGCCGAGUGAGCUGUGCAUGUAGCCAAGCAAGCCGAUGCUCGGUACAACAGGAUCCCGAGUCCUAUCACCACGGCCCCAAAACAAGCGAACAGAUAAAGCGAUGGCCAUACGUACCAGGUUCAGGUACGACAAGUCCAGCUGCUCAACCAGUCCAACCGGGCACGUGACGCCGUUCCAGUUCGCGCCGACCGCGCAAGGAUCCGUGCCCGCCACCCAGUCCGCGUACGGCCAAGGCGAGGUGACGGCCUGCUUUACAAGCAGCAGCACCGGCUGCGCGCUGGGCGGCGCGGGCGGCAGCGGCGGGAUGGGCGAGGGCGGCAGCGGGGGCUGCGGCGGCGGCGAGGGCGGCAGUGGCGGCGCGGGGCAGGGCAGACCCACGUUGGUGCCGGUGGCGACCACCUUGACUGAGAUGACGGGCGGCAGCGGUCCGCACAUGGCGGCGUUGCUGGCCACGUUGAGGCGCGUCAGCGCCGUCAAGACCUGCAUAGCCGAGCGAAGGGUCCGACAUGUCAGGAAAGCAUGUUUCGGCACCUAGGGCAUAAGGCCCGUUGCGACACGCCUGUGCAGACAUUCUAAACUCCCCCGCCGAGCACAUUGGUACGUACCGAGUACUGGGGCGGGAUCGUGGUGGUCAGCUGGUUUCCGGCCUGCAAGGACGGGUAACCAAAGGCAAACGGGUCGUGAUGGAACGAUUACGGGACAACAGGACCGUGAAGCAUUGGGUCGCAUGUGCAUGCAGAAAGGUGUGGCAAGAGCGAGCACGCACCAAGUUUAAGGAUGACAGCAGCGUCAGCGCCGAGUAGCCAACAGGCAGAGGGCCCUGGAUGCUGUUCGGCGACGUCAGCUGGAUGGAUACGAGGUUGGUCAGUAUAGACCACUCGGGCGGCAGUGUGCCUGCAAUUGAUAAGAACACAACGGGCGCAUCAGCAUGUGGUCAACGCGGUAUACGGUUGUCGCUGGACUCCAAUGCAGUUAGUGGGGCCACAUGGACUCGGAACCAUGUAAAUGCCCGUGCUUGGUAUGCAACGCGUGGCCCCACGCCCAGGCACGCCGUCCAGCCUGUACGCACCUGUCAGGCCGGAGCCCACGAAGUUGAUGACACGCAGCGUGGGCACCUGGUACAGCAGCCGCGGCACCGGCGCGUUGAAGGACGGGCUGACGUACUGCAGCGAGAUGCCCGUCACGUCCGUGCCGGUGCAUUGCACGCCUGUGUGCAGGGAAAGGACAUGCACGGUGUUACACGGGGGAUGCCAAAGGGGAGCGCGGGGCUGUGGUUUAGUGCUGGCCGCACCGUGCUGAGAUUACAACUCACAGACUCGGGGCAGCGGCCCACAACCCACCUGUCCAGCUGUCAAUGCAUGGGUGCGUGCCCACGGUCCAGUUGGCCAGCACCGUGUGGUUCGACAGCUCGUUCUUUACGGCGUACAGGGCGUCCGCGAACGAGGGCGGUGCGGGCGGUCUUGGGCUCGGCGGCUCCGGGCUAGGUGGGACUGGGCUGGGCGGCACUGGACUGGGAGGUAGCGGCGGCGCUGGGCUUGGAGGCACCGGCGGCGCUGGGCUGGGUGGCACGGGUGACGGCGGAACUGGGCUCGGCGGCUCUGGGCUGGGAGGCGCAGGCGAAGGAGGCGGUGGCGGCGACGGCGGGACAGGGCUUGGCGGCUGGGGUGGAGAUGGCGGGGGAGGAGGACUCGGGCAGGGGCCCGGGAUCAGCGUGUUGUUGUAGAUGUAAGCAGCUGAUGGCACCGGGCCGCACAUGAGUGUGUUGUUUGAAAGCUCCACGCGAGUCAGAGCCGUCAGCACGCUCCAUGCCGCAGGCACACUGGACGUCAGCUGGUUAGCGGACAGGCCCAAGCUGCGGAGAGCCGUCAGAACUGACCACUCGGGCGGCAGCGGGCCGGUGAAGCUCUGCCCAACAACGUCCAAUCGUGUCAGGGCCAGCAGCGACGACCAGGCCGCAUGCAGCGUGCCACGCAGGGUGUUGGUGCCACCGCCCAGGACCACGCUCUGCAAGCUGGUCACGAAGCUCCAGGUGGACGGCAGCGAACCGUUCAGGCCUUGGAAGGGCAGUUGGACUGACGUGGGUUGGCCGGCCGUGCAGGUCACUCCGGUCCAUGCAGCUAUGCAAGGAUCCGAUGUCGAGUUCCAGCCAGCCAUUGUCGCCGGCCAUGCGCUCACCGUCAGCCGCAGGUCUGCCAGCGCAUUGCCGGAUGAAGGCGGCGGCGGUGAGGGCGGUUCGGGCGAGGGAGGUGUAGGGGAGGGCGGGAACGGGCUGGGAGGAGCUGGCGGAGGUGAGGGCGGAGAGGGGCACGGGGUGCCAAGCGAUGAUCCUGUUGUCACCACUGGGUUGUUCACAACCCAAGUUCCAGGUAACGACCCACACAGGUUCGGGUUGUUGCGGAGGACCAAGAGCGUCAGCGCCGUCAUUCCGGCUGGCCAUGCCACAGGGACGGUGCUGACAAGCUGAGGAUUCGUCCCAAGGUCCAGGCUACGCAGGCUGCGGAGCUCCGACCAAGACAACGGCAACACGCCCGAAAGCAAGUUGCUGGCAACACUAAUGGCCUCCAGCUGUGUCAUCUGAGAGUAAACGUCCAAGAGCGUGCCAGUCAGCGUGUUGCCGCUCAGGUCGAUGGACUUGAGUGUGCGCACUUGCACAAGGCUGGCCGGCAGGGGGCCAGCCAGCCGCGGCGAGGUGGACGGCAGGCUCAGGUCCACCACGUUGCCGCUGCCGUCGCAGCUGACGCCGUACCAGCUGGUGCAUGGGUUCGGAUGUAACACGUCGUCCCACGUGCUGAGCGCCGUGGAGUUGCCCAGCUCGUACUUGACCUGCAGCAGCGCGUUGGCUGCAGUGGGCGGAGCGGGCGGCGCCGGGCUGGGCGGCGCGGGGCUGGGCGGCCGCGGGCUAGGCGGGUCCGGGCUGGGUGGCGUGGGGCUCGGUGGUGCCGGGCUGGGCGGUACAGGCGGCGCGGGGCUGGGCGGCACAGGUGAAGGGGGCGCAGGUGAGGGCGGAGGAGAUGGCGAUGGUGGACGAGGUGAUGGCGGCUCUGGGCUUGGCGGCGCAGGGCUCGGAGGCUCGGGGCUGGGCGGCACAGGCGAAGGAGGCGGGCUGGGAGGCGUAGGCGGAGGCGGCGGGCUGGGACACGUCGCCGGAAUCUGCGUGCCGUUGUACACAUACACCGCAGACGGCACCGCGCCGCACAUCAGCGAGUUGCCGCUGAGGUCCACACGGAACAGACCCGUCAGCACGCUCCAGCCAGAGGGAACAGGCCCGGUUAGCAGAUUCCCGCUCAAGUCCAGCGUGCGCAGGUUGCUCAGCGCAGACCACUCGGCAGGCAGCUGGCCAGAGUACCGGUUGCCCAGCAGCUCCAGGCGAGUCAGAGACGUCAGGACACUCCACGACCGCGGUAACGUGCCCGUCAGGCUGUUGUUGGUGGCGCGAAUGGUGCUCAGGCUGGACACGAACGCCCACGACUCCGGCAAGGAGCCCGUGAGGUUGCGCUGGUUCAGCACCACCGUGGUGGGCUGUCCUGCCGUGCACGACACGCCCGUCCACGCAGCCGUGCAGGGGUCGCUGCUGGUGUUCCAGCCCAGAAUCGCAGCCGGCAACGGACUGGCCGUCACCCGCAGGUCCGCAAGCGCAUAGCCAAACGAAGGCGGAGGUGGAGACGGAGGCGCCGGCGAUGGAGGGGCAGGGCUGGGAGGCGCAGGGCUGGGAGGCACAGGAGGCGGAGACGGCGGGGACGGGCACGCCAGACCAACCUGCGUGCCGCUGCUCGUCACCGGACUGCCAGCAGCCCACGGCGUGGGGAUGCUGCCACACAGUGCGCCGUUAUUGUCCAGCCACAGGAGCUGCAGCGCGCCCAUGCCGCCAGGACCAGCCCAGGCGGCCGGAAUGGUCGAGUAGAAGCCGUUGCCCGACAGGUCCAGCUCCGUCAGACGCGUCAGCGCGGACCAAGACACAGGCAGCAGGCCGCCGAGGCCCGGCCCGUUGUUGGCCACGCUGACGUACUCCAGCUGCGUCAUCUGGGAGUACGAGUCCGGAAGCGUGCCCGUCAGCGUGUUGCCGCUCAACGUCACUGAGCGCAGCGUGCGCACUUGCACCAGGCUGGCCGGCAGGGGGCCAGCCAGCCGCGGCGAGGUGGACGGCAGGCUCAGGUCCACCACGUUGCCGCUGCCGUCGCAGCUGACGCCGUACCAGCUGGUGCAUGGGUUCGGAUGCAUCACGUCGUCCCAUGUGCUGAGCGCCGUGGAGUUGCCCAGCUCGUAUUUGACCUGCAGCAGCGCGUUGGCUGCAGUGGGCGGAGCGGGCGGCGCCGGGCUGGGCGGCGCGGGGCUGGGCGGCCGCGGGCUAGGCGGGUCCGGGCUGGGUGGCGUGGGGCUGGGUGGUGCCGGGCUGGGCGGUACAGGCGGCGCGGGGCUGGGCGGCACGGGCGAAGGGGGCGCCGGUGAGGGCGGAGGAGAUGGCGCUGGCGGCUCCGGGCUGGGCGGCAUGGGGGACGGCGGCUCUGGGCUGGGCGGUGCAGGUGAAGGGGGCGCUGGAGACGGCGGCACAGGAGGCGCAGGGCUCGGCGGUACCGGAGGUGCCGGUGACGGUGGCUCUGGGCUGGGCGGUGCAGGUGAAGGGGGCGCUGGAGGCGCAGGGCUGGGAGGAACAGGCGGCGCAGGGCUCGGGGGCGCUGGGCUGGGCGGCACAGGCGACGGAGGUGGGCUGGGAGGCGUAGGCGGAGGCGGCGGGCUGGGACACGUCGCCGGAAUCUGCGUGCCGUUGUACACAUACACCGCAGACGGCACCGCGCCGCACAUCAGCGAGUUGCCACUGAGGUCCACGCGGAACAGACCCGUCAGCACGCUCCAGCCAGAUGGAACAGGCCCGGUCAGCAGAUUCCCGCUCAGGUCCAGCGUGCGCAGGUUGCUCAGCGCAGACCACUCGGCAGGCAGCUGGCCAGAGUACCGGUUGCCCAGCAGCUCCAGGCGAGUCAGAGACGUCAGGACACUCCACGACCGCGGUAACGUGCCCGUCAGGCUGUUGUUGGUGGCGCGAAUGGUGCUCAGGCUGGACACGAACGCCCACGACUCCGGCAAGGAGCCCGUGAGGUUGCGCUGGUUCAGCACCACCGUGGUGGGCUGUCCUGCCGUGCACGACACGCCCGUCCACGCAGCCGUACAGGGGUCGCUGCUGGUGUUCCAGCCCAGAAUCGCAGCCGGCAACGGACUGGCCGUCACCCGCAGGUCCGCAAGCGCAUAGCCAAACGAAGGCGGAGGUGGAGACGGAGGCGCCGGCGACGGAGGGGCAGGGCUGGGAGGCGCAGGGCUGGGAGGCACAGGAGGCGGAGACGGCGGGGACGGGCACGCCAGACCAACCUGCGUGCCGCUGCUCGUCACCGGACUGCCAGCAGCCCACGGCGUGGGGAUGCUGCCACACAGUGCGCCGUUGUUGUCCAGCCACAGAAGCUGCAGCGCGCCCAUGCCGCCAGGACCAGCCCAGGCGGCCGGAAUGGUCGAGUAGAAGCCGUUGCCCGACAGGUCCAGCUCCGUCAGACGCGUCAGCGCGGACCAAGACACAGGCAGCAGGCCGCCGAGGCCCGGCCCGUUGUUGGCCACGCUGACGUACUCCAGCUGCGUCAUCUGGGAGUACGAGUCCGGAAGCGUGCCCGUCAGCGUGUUGCCGCUCAACGUCACUGAGCGCAGCGUGCGCACUUGCACCAGGCUGGCCGGCAGGGGGCCAGCCAGCCGCGGCGAGGUGGACGGCAGGCUCAGGUCCACCACGUUGCCGCUGCCGUCGCAGCUGACGCCGUACCAGCUGGUGCAUGGGUUCGGAUGCAUCACGUCGUCCCACGUGCUGAGCGCCGUGGAGUUGCCCAGCUCGUAUUUGACCUGCAGCAGCGCGUUGGCUGCAGUGGGCGGAGCGGGCGGCGCCGGGCUGGGCGGCGCGGGGCUGGGCGGCCGCGGGCUAGGCGGGUCCGGCCUGGGUGGCGUGGGGCUGGGUGGUGCCGGGCUGGGCGGUACAGGCGGCGCGGGGCUGGGCGGCACGGGCGAAGGGGGCGCCGGUGAGGGCGGAGGAGAUGGCGCUGGCGGCUCCGGGCUGGGCGGCAUGGGGGACGGCGGCUCUGGGCUGGGCGGUGCAGGUGACGGGGGCGCUGGAGACGGCGGCACAGGAGGCGCAGGGCUCGGCGGUACCGGAGGUGCCGGUGACGGUGGCUCUGGGCUGGGCGGUGCAGGUGAAGGGGGCGCUGGAGGCGCAGGGCUGGGAGGAACAGGCGGCGCAGGGCUCGGGGGCGCUGGGCUGGGCGGCUCCGGAGAAGGCGGCACAGGAGGCGCAGGGCUGGGAGGAACAGGCGGCGCAGGGCUCGGAGGCGCUGGGCUGGGCGGCACAGGCGACGGAGGCGGGCUGGGAGGCGUAGGCGGAGGCGGCGGGCUGGGACACGUCGCCGGAAUCUGCGUGCCGUUGUACACAUACACCGCAGACGGCACCGGGCCGCACAUCAGCGAGUUGCCACUGAGGUCCACGCGGAACAGACCCGUCAGCACGCUCCAGCCAGAGGGAACAGGCCCGGUCAACAGAUUCCCACUCAGGUCCAGCGUGCGCAGGUUGCUCAGCGCAGACCACUCGGCAGGCAGCUGGCCAGAGUACCGGUUGCCCAGCAGCUCCAGGCGAGUCAGAGACGUCAGGACACUCCACGACCGCGGUAACGUGCCCGUCAGGCUGUUGUUGGUGGCGCGAAUGGUGCUCAGGCUGGACACGAACGCCCACGACUCCGGCAAGGAGCCCGUGAGGUUGCGCUGGUUCAGCACCACCGUGGUGGGCUGUCCUGCCGUGCACGACACGCCCGUCCACGCAGCCGUACAGGGGUCGCUGCUGGUGUUCCAGCCCAGAAUCGCAGCCGGCAACGGACUGGCCGUCACCCGCAGGUCCGCAAGCGCAUAGCCAAACGAAGGCGGAGGUGGAGACGGAGGCGCCGGCGACGGAGGGGCAGGGCUGGGAGGCGCAGGGCUGGGAGGCACAGGAGGCGGAGACGGCGGGGACGGGCACGCCAGACCAACCUGCGUGCCGCUGCUCGUCACCGGACUGCCAGCAGCCCACGG
rnacentral:lncRNA from 1 species